AUGGGCGGAGUCAGAGCAGAGAGUUGGGGUGUAGGAGAUGAGGAGAAUGGGGUAGGCUUCAUGAUGGAAGGAGAUACGACGGCAAAGAAUGUGGAGGUCGGGUGUUACAUGGAGGCGCAUGGUGAGCACCACACGCAGAUGUUCCUCUUAGCUUCCUACCUCUUCCCUGCUGCCCUAAUUUCCCCCUACGACUCAAUCAUGCCUCAAGCUACUCUCUAA
rnacentral:rRNA from 1 species